GCCUCUGAGGAUGAUAAGUAGAAUACUUUCGUUCUUCUGAGAUUUUCCAUGCGGAACCUUUUGGAGACCUGAACUGAAGAGGC